CCGGGGGAUUGCCUCAGUAACGGCGAGUGAAGCGGCAACAGCUCAAAUUUGAAAGCCCGCGGGCGUUGUAAUUUGCAGGCGGAUGUUUUGGGGCGGGCGCUGUCUACGUUCCUUGGAACAGGACGCCGCAGAGGGUGAGAGCCCCGUGCGAUGGCGCCUCCAACCGCGUAAAACUCCGCCGACGAGUCGAGUUGUUUGGGAAUGCAGCUCCAAGUGGGUGGUAAAUUCCAUCUAAAGCUAAAUACUGGCGAGAGACCGAUAGCGAACAAGUACAGUGAUGGAAAGAUGAAAAGCACUUUGAAAAGAGAGUGAAACAGCACGUGAAAUUGUUGAAAGGGAAGGGUAUGCGAUUAGCGGCCAGCAGGAGGUGCCUUCUCGUGAAAAGGCCGUGCACCGUCUUCGGACACCGUGCGCGGAGAUGGCGAGGGGGCGCCUGAGGUCUGCGACUCGAGGUUGCUGGCGUAAUGAUUGCAUACCACCCGUCUUGAAACACAGACACCCA
rnacentral:rRNA from 1 species